UGUCUUAACACUGAUGGCAGUUACAAAUGUGAAUGUUUGCAUGGUUAUCAUAGAAAUGGAGAACUUUGUAUUAAAGAAACAUCAUCCUUGAAAAACAUGUCGACACAAAACCAAGACAAGAAAGGAGCUCUACAUGAGUUGAUAAAUCUUUUGAAUACAUCUGCAUCGCCCCGAUUUUAUCUUCAUUCUUGGCUUCUUUUUGUAGCUGUCUUGAUAUUGUUGGCAAACAUCUAAUUUUUGAUCUUUUUUCUAUUAAACUUUGUAAAUCUGCAAGUCUGUAUUGUUAAAGUAAAACAAAUCCAUUUUUGCAACUUUCA